AUUGAUGCAUCCUUAAGUCUCUACGAAAUGUGUUAAUUUCCAGGGAAGAAAGGUAAUCAGUAAUGCUAUUCUAAAAUAAAACAACUAAUUAAAUUUUUUUUAAAAAAGAAGACAGAAGUAGAAUCAUUGCGACUAUUUCUUGAUUAAGUAGCCUAAGUACAUUCAUCAGUGGUGUCGUUUUCUGGUUUCCAACAACAUAAUUUUGUUUGUUGAUUAUUUUAUCCAAAGAUAUUGCUAUACUAAAUAUCCUGCCAACAGAUGUUUCCUCCGGUUUAUAGAUGUUCACACUUGGUCCCAGACUCUCUUCUAGGUGCUGAGGAUACAGCCGUGGACAUCUAGCCCCAGUGCAGCUUGUAUUCUGAUGGGAUAGGAGGUGAACCCCAGCAACUGAGCUCCUUUGUUCAUGGCAAUAAGCCGCCCAGAGCUGACUCCCAUUCGGCUGACCACACUGGCUGUGAGCUGCAGCAUUUCGGCUUCACGUCCAGGACCUCAGAAGUACAGCAGGAAACUUGACCUAGUCCUCUUCCAGACUUCAGGCCCUUCCCUAACCCCAGCAAGACCAGCCAACAGGUUUCAGCUCCCAACACAGGGCGGAUCUCAAACAUAACAGGUGACUCAAAUGCAGUCUGCGAUAGAGUUGGCGCUUUGAUGAGUGUCUGGCCCCAGGAGAAGGAUUUCAGAAAGCUCAGUUCACAGCACACAUCUGGAGGGGCAUCCUCAGGGCUUGGGUUUCUGGCAGGCAUCUGGGCUGAGGGACUAGCAGGGCUGUCUAUGCGCUCACACAGGAAGCCCCGAGAAACAUGCCACCCGUGGCAGCCAGCUGGGCUUUCCGCAGAGCCAGGGUUCUGUCCCACUUGUGAGCUGCUUAUCUCAUCCUCCACCCACACCCCAGGGAGGCAGUGAAGGGCUUUCAGGCAGGAGCAGCCUCAUAAGCACUAUAAUAAUGUCAGUUGACUUGAGUUGACUAAUAUCAUGACAGCGUGUUGCAGUCUUCAGAGAAAGAUACUAAAAUGGUUGUGCUAUUACGGAUCUCAGAGCAUUAAGGAAAGUUGACCAGCUUUCACUGGGCUGAACCAAGGGGUGAAGCAGUCAGAGACAAGGCUGGGACUUUCCUGUUUCUGUAAAACAUACUUCUUUCCAUUCAAAAAGUUUUGGACAGGCAAUAUGCAAAAAGACAACUGCUGAAUGAUUCCACUUGUAUGAGGCACCUAGAGGAGUCAAAGUCACAGAGACAGAAAGUAGAAUGGUGGGUGCCAGGGACUAGGGGGAGGGGAAUGAGAAGUUCGUGUUUAAUGGGUACAGUUUCAGUUUGGAAAGAUGCAAAGGCUUCCGGGAUGAUGGUG
rnacentral:lncRNA from 1 species